GAUGAACGCUGGCGGCGUGCCUAAUACAUGCAAGUCGAGCGAACGGACGAGAAGCUUGCUUCUCUGAUGUUAGCGGCGGACGGGUGAGUAACACGUGGAUAACCUACCUAUAAGACUGGGAUAACUUCGGGAAACCGUAGCUAAUACCGGAUAAUAUUUUGAACCGCAUGGUUCAAAAGUGAAAGACGGUCUUGCUGUCACUUAUAGAUGGAUCCGCGCUGCAUUAGCUAGUUGGUAAGGUAACGGCUUACCAAGGCAACGAUGCAUAGCCGACCGGAGAGGGUGAUCGGCCACACGGGAACGGAGACACGGUCCAGACUCCUACGGGAGGCAGCAGUAGGGAAUCUUCCGCAAUGGGCGAAAGCCUGACGGAGCAACGCCGCGUGAGUGAUGAAGGUCUUCGGAUCGUAAAACUCUGUUAUUAGGGAAGAACAUAUGUGUAAGUAACUGUGCACAUCUUGACGGUACCUAAUCAGAAAGCCACGGCUAACUACGUG
rnacentral:rRNA from 1 species